AGUUCCGGCGAGGAUGUCGCAGUAUGGUGACCUCCGAAGCAAGCAAGAAGCUGACACGUACAGCAGGAACAACACAAGGUCUUCACAGAAAACCCCACUAUGAUGCAUCUCAACCCGGGUGCUGUUGCAGUUUCACCAAGCAGCAAGCCAAGGAACAAGAAUACGGCUUUUGCUACAGUCCACAAGCAGGG